rnacentral:rRNA from 1 species
UACGUAGGGUGCGAGCGUUGUCCGGAAUUAUUGGGCGUAAAGGGCUCGUAGGCGGUCUGUCGCGUCGGGAGUGAAAACUCAGGGCUUAACCCUGAGCCUGCUUCCGAUACGGGCAGACUAGAGGUAUGCAGGGGAGAACGGAAUUCCUGGUGUAGCGGUGGAAUGCGCAGAUAUCAGGAGGAACACCGGUGGCGAAGGCGGUUCUCUGGGCAUUACCUGACGCUGAGGAGCGAAAGCGUGGGGAACGAACAGG